rnacentral:rRNA from 1 species
AGUGAACGCUGGCGGUAGGCCUAACACAUGCAAGUCGAACGGCAGCGCAGUAAGAGCUUGCUCUUACGGGUGGCGAGUGGCGGACGGGUGAGGAAUACAUCGGAAUCUACUUUUUCGUGGGGGAUAACGUAGGGAAACUUACGCUAAUACCGCAUACGACCUACGGGUGAAAGCAGGGGAUCUUCGGACCUUGCGCGAUUGAAUGAGCCGAUGUCGGAUUAGCUAGUUGGCGGGGUAAAGGCCCACCAAGGCGACGAUCCGUAGCUGGUCUGAGAGGAUGAUCAGCCACACUGGAACUGAGACACGGUCCAGACUCCUACGGGAGGCAGCAGUGGGGAAUAUUGGACAAUGGGCGCAAGCCUGAGCCAGCCAUACCGCGGGGGUGAAGAAGGCCUUCGGGUUGUAAAGCCCUUUUGUUGGGAAAGAAAAGCAGCAGGUUAAUACCCCGCUGUUCUGACGGUACCCAAAGAAUAAGCACCGGCUAACUUCGU